rnacentral:rRNA from 1 species
UACGUAGGGGGCAAGCGUUGUCCGGAUUUAUUGGGCGUAAAGAGCGUGUAGGCGGUUUGGUAGGUCCGCUGUGAAAACUCGAGGCUCGACCUCGAGACGCCGGUGGAAACCAUCAGACUAGAGUCCGGAAGAGGAGAGUGGAAUUCCUGGUGUAGCGGUGAAAUGCGCAGAUAUCAGGAAGAACACCCGUGGCUAAGGCGGCUCUCUAGUACGGUACUGACGCUGAGACGCGAAAGCGUGGGGAGCGAACAGG